GACGAACGCUGGCGGCGUGCUUAACACAUGUAAGUCGAACGGAAAGGCCCUGCUUUUGUGGGGUGCUCGAGUGGCGAACGGGUGAGUAACACGUGAGUAACCUGCCCUUGACUUUGGGAUAACUUCAGGAAACUGGGGCUAAUACCGGAUAGGAGCUCCUGCUGCAUGGUGGGGGUUGGAAAGUUUCGGCGGUUGGGGAUGGACUCGCGGCUUAUCAGCUUGUUGGUGGGGUAGUGGCUUACCAAGGCUUUGACGGGUAGCCGGCCUGAGAGGGUGACCGGCCACAUUGGGACUGAGAUACGGCCCAGACUCCUACGGGAGGCAGCAGUGGGGAAUAUUGCACAAUGGGCGGAAGCCUGAUGCAGCAACGCCGCGUGCGGGAUGACGGCCUUCGGGUUGUAAACCGCUUUCGCCUGUGACGAAGCGUGAGUGACGGUAAUGGGUAAAGAAGCACCGGCGAACUACGU
rnacentral:rRNA from 1 species